UCAAAUACCGCUUUUCUGGAAUUUGGGGCUAGAUUUCGCAUUGUCACACGUAAACUUACUUUGGUUUUUUGGGGCAAAAUCGCUGAAGCUGUACCGACUGGUGUACAGCAGGAAACGAUUUUGACGUUUGACUACUACGUUAAUUUAUAGUACUUACAUGCAAUGUGAGCACAAUUCACUCUCGCUGCUCCACUUGCACUAAUUGUGCUCUAAAUUACGCAAAAUCUAGCUAAAGCAAUAAACAAUGUGUGUUUGAUUUUUCUGGUAGACUAGUUGCAACACUGAUUUUUUAUCGCACUUUUCAAGGCUUUGUGUACAGGAGGACUGCUGUGUACCUAUUUACAGCUAAUAGGCAAACAAAAUAAUAGGAAAAGUUAAUCUUACCUUGGCGAAAUUUGCAUCAGCUUUUAAUGAGAAACAAAGAUCUGACAUCACAAUAAUAAAUCCGAGUAAAAUUGGAAAACAAUACGCGGAAUUACGAGCUCGCAACUUAUUGCUUCAUUCAAUAAUUAUUACAAAUAACACACGUUUUAUUAAAUCUUUAUUGUGGUACUUAAAUUAUAAACAAAUGGAGAAAACCGUGUCUUGGUGGUUAACACAGAGAGAAAAACAGAUUUUUAUGGGUCAUAAAAUCACCCAAGUUCAAGUCAAAACAAUUCAAUUCAAAGUCGCAAACGCAAUCAAUUUUUCGCUCAGUUCGGUCGAAAUGAAAGUAAUGUUGAUUCUCCUUGGACUUGCUCCAGUCUUGUGCCCUUCUGAAGGUGAGUCCCGACUGACGAAACGUAAUAAAUCGUGCUUUUAGGGUUUCGCUGCAUAAGAUGUUACGCUUCUUGUCCUUUACGAACCGUUUAUGACGAGUGUACUGAUUAUUGUUACAUUCUGAAAUUUAGAAGUAACACACUAGAUGGUGAAAAAUGAUUGAUUGAUUUGGACUUGUAGAUGAGGUGUACAAAGGGUGCGCCCCUUUUGAGCAAAAUCGUAUAAUAACGUUCGAUAAGUUUGACGAUUUGGUGCGGAAAAACGGUGGUUACCAGUCGAUUAAAUAUUGCAGGACAGAUGGGUGCAAUGUUGGAUAAAUAUCUG